GAUGAAGAACGCAGCGAAAUGCGAUAAGUAAUGUGAAUUGCAGAAUUCAGUGAAUCAUCGAAUCUUUGAACGCACAUUGCGCCCGCCAGUAUUCUGGCGGGCAUGCCUGUCUGAGCGUCAUUUCAACCCUCAUGCCCCUAGGGCGUGGUGUUGGGGAUCGGCCAAAGCCCGCGAGGGACGGCCGGCCCCUAAAUCUAGUGGCGGACCCGUCGUGGCCUCCUCUGCGAAGUAGUGAUAUUCCGCAUCGGAGAGCGACGAGCCCCUGCCGUUAAACCCCCAACUUUCCAAGGUUGACCUCAGAUCAGGUAGGAAUACCCGCUGAUCUUAAGCAUAUCAAUAAGCGGAGGA
rnacentral:misc_RNA from 1 species